GGGGAUAACACUUGGAAACAGGUGCUAAUACCGUAUAACAAUCGAAACCGCAUGGUUUUGAUUUGAAAGGCGCUUUCGGGUGUCGCUGAUGGAUGGACCCGCGGUGCAUUAGCUAGUUGGUGAGGUAACGGCUCACCAAGGCCACGAUGCAUAGCCGACCUGAGAGGGUGAUCGGCCACAUUGGGACUGAGACACGGCCCAAACUCCUACGGGAGGCAGCAGUAGGGAAUCUUCGGCAAUGGACGAAAGUCUGACCGAGCAACGCCGCGUGAGUGAAGAAGGUUUUCGGAUCGUAAAACUCUGUUGUUAGAGAAGAACAAGGAUGAGAGUAACUGUUCAUCCCUUGACGGUAUCUAACCAGAAAGCCACGGCUAA
rnacentral:rRNA from 1 species